UGGGGAAUAUUGGGCAAUGGGCGAAAGCCUGACUCAGCAACGCCGCGUGAGGGAAGAAGGUUUUCGGAUUGUAAACCUCUGUCCUAAGGGACGAAGGAAGUGACGGUACCUUAGGAGGAAGCCCCGGCUAACUACGUGCCAGCAGCCGCGGUAAUACGUAGGGGGCGAGCGUUGUCCGGAAUGACUGGGCGUAAAGGGCGUGUAGGCGGCUUUUUAAGUCUGGAGUGAAAGUCCUGCUUUCAAGGUGGGAAUUGCUUUGGAGACUGGAGAGCUUGAGUGCGGAAGAGGUAAGUGGAAUUCCCAGUGUAGCGGUGAGAUGCGUAGAGAUUGGGAGGAACACCAGUGGCGAAGGCGACUUACUGGGCCGUAACUGACGCUGAGGCGCGAAAGCGUGGGGAGCGAACAGGAUUAGAUACCC
rnacentral:rRNA from 1 species